rnacentral:misc_RNA from 1 species
GCCGGUAGAUCCCCCGUUGUACUUCGGCCGACUACCGGCGCCGUGUCCCGUCACUCUUGUGGCAUUGUCCCGAUGGAUUGAACCCGUGGCUUGCGUGCUAGUACCCGACCUACGGGAAGUGGUGCUUCGUAUAAUUGUUGCCUCACGGUGGACGCCCUUUGGGUGUGCCAUUGUGACCGAAUAGCGCUUGCGGCGUUGCCUCGUACAACAGCCAUAUAAUGUGCAUGUUGAUAUCACGGCAACCUCGCUCUCGCUUUUGGUCUAGGAUGCUGCUCACGAUAAAGGCUCGAGGCCCUUCGGGUUGCCUCGAUCCGAAACAAUGUUCUCUCUCCGAAAUGGCGAUAACCGGGUACAUGUCUUGCCUCUACCUCUCCACAGUUACGUGGUAGGAUACGCAACCCUAUGAUCCGGCCCUCAUGGAGGAGGAGACAUGCUCUCUCCGAAAUGGCGAUAACCGGGUACAUGUCUUGCCUCUACCUCUCCACAGUUACGUGGUAGGAUAUGCAACCCUAUGAUCCGGCCCUCAUGGAGGAUGAGACAUGCUCUAUCYGAAAUGGCGAUAACCGGGUACAUGUCUUGCCUCUACCUCUCCACAGUUACGUGGUAGGAUAUGCAACCCUAUGAUCCGGCCCUCAUGGAGGAUGAGACAUGCCCGCUCAAAAGCGACAACUGGCUCGGCUGUUGCAUUUGUCUUUCCAUGCAAGUGGAAUUGCAGGGUAACUACCGACGCUGGACGUCACCGAGGACGUGCU